UGCGUAAAAGAAAGACUUUUACUGAAAGUGAAAAAAUCCAAAAACACCAUCUAAAAUCUAAAGUGGACUAAUCGGGACUAUAUGGGUAUCAAAUGAAAGGGCUCCUGCCGCCAACUAUGAAGUUUAGCCCCAAUUGGACGCUUACUCUCCGUCCGUCGUAAUGUUUAAUGCCAUUUUCAAUGCCAAAAAGGACGACACUGAACACCUGCCUAGAGAGAGCUCUUUCUACUGGCAAGGACCAUAAAUUAAAAAUAAAUGAGUUCAUGAGGUUCAUCACGAUUAGCUAUUAAAGAAGGUGUCUUUUUCAUAUUGCCCAUCAUUUUGGUUCUAAGGAUAUAAUAGCACCCGCUGUAAUUUUUCUUUUUGUCUCAAUAUCACAAUACCGCACUUUCCACUCAGCUAGCUAUUUUUUUCGGCUCGUUUAGACUUAAUCAUGCUCUCGCUUGCUCACCUCCGGGUUGCUGCACUGCCAAAAGGAAAAAGAAAGAUUUUCCUUCUUGGGCCAGUUGCCUGUGUUGUCAUUUGUCCCAUCAUGGCGUACUUCCCAGCCAGAACUUCCUCUGAGGGGCCAAAUGACAACACAAAACCAACUGUCCUACUGUCGUUCAGACAGGGGUCGUGGUUUACCCAUAUCCGUUAUUGUCCUACUGCAAAUUUCGCCCAUGAACAGGGGCAAACUUCUCACAUAUCAAUGAGUGCAGUCCGAUUUACUAAUUACUUAAAUUUGAAUCGGACAGCAUUCAUUGAAAGUUUGUCCGCUUUCCUCAAACUUUAACUGGUUACGUAAAAAUAUGUUGCGUACUUUGUUGAGGCUAGUACUAGGUUUUUUUUUGGAAAAAUUUCCCUAAAUGGUUCUUUCGGUGGUUUGACAAGGUUACCACAUUUGAUUUUUUUGGUUUCUUUGCCCAAAAUGUUGUCAUUUACAUAUAAAAAUUCAUAUGGCACCAACCAUUUUAUCAGCUGCUUACGUACAUGUUUACACACAAAUGUGAGUGUGUGGACACUACUCAGAUUCAUAUAUGUUGUUGCAAUUUCAACCAAAACCCACCCCUUCGAAAGAAAUAAUUAAUGAAACACAAAGCUAUUUUUAAAAACGAAUUCGGCUUUUAUUUGUAAAAGUAAUUAGAUUUUGCAGUAUUUUCGUUGGCAUGAGUUAAAUAAACACAACUUUCCAAAAGCCUUUGCCAG